CGCCGCGGCCCUCGCCCCCCUGACCGCGGCGGAGCUGCCCGCGCUGGGCGCAGGGGCGCGGCGGGGCCGGGGCGCGGGAGACAGACCGGGGCGCGGGCUAGCGGCGGCGAGGGGCCUCGGCUCGCAUGCCCGGCCCGGCCCGGCCCGGCCCGGCCCGGCCGCCCUCCCCGGCCCGGGGCCCGCCUCGCCUCUCCCCGCCGCGGCGCCCGCAGCCUCCGGCCACCUGUUCGGCGUCUCGGCGCGCUCGGCGGCGGCGGCCCGAGGCGGUGUGGCGCUCGCGCUCCUCGCUCCUCGCUCCUCGCUCUGGCUCCUCGGGCCGCGGGGGCAGGGGGGAGGGGACAGCAGCGAGGGGCGGGGCGGGGCGGGGCGGGGAGGAGCGGAGCGGGGCGGGGCGGAGCGGGGCCCGGCACACAACACCGCGCACAUGCGGCAGGGGAGGCGCGGGGCGGGGCGGAGCGCACGCCCGCGGCCCGCGGCCCACGCCCCCGCCCCCGCCGCCUCCCCCUCCCCGCCCCGCCCCUCCCCUCCCCUCCCCGCCCCCCCCCUACCCCGGGCGCGGGCGGCCGCGGGGCCCCGACCGCUGGGACCCGCCCGGCACGCGGCCUCCCUCCGGGCCGCCCCUCCCCCGCCCCGCCGACCCCCGCCCGAGGCACCGCGGCCCUCCCCGGCCCCGCCCGCACCCCCGGCCCCGGCCCGGGCCCCGGCCCCGGCCCCGGCCCCGGCCCCCUGGAGCGCCCCGGCGCGGCGCGGCUGUGCUGGUGCGGUGGAGCCCUCCUCGGGGCGCCGCUCCACACCCCCACCCCGACACCCGGGGUCUCUCCAGAGCCCACCCCCUUCCUUUGUCACUUUUGAUCCCUUCUCUCCUGCUGAGGGUUCGCGAGAAAUCGUUCCUGGAGAAAACACUUUACUCGUGGCGCCGCGGACUGAAGGCACAGAGACGCUCGGAGAGGAGCCGUCCCCACGGAGCCCCAGGAGGACGGAUGGGGCUGGCCAGAGGCCACACUAUGUACCUUGAAGUUUCCUAUGACCGACCCCCUGAUGAGCCUCCCACUUCAACGCCUAGAAUUCUAACACCCGCAAUUCAGGUAAUUCUAUUUCUCAAAAUUCUGCAACAGGAGCAAUCCUAA
rnacentral:lncRNA from 1 species